rnacentral:lncRNA from 1 species
AUGAUGCUUCAGGGCGUGCAUUUGAAUCGCUGCAUGGUCGCGGGCGCAGUGCAGUUCCGAUUGUUUUUAUUGUUAUGUUGUUGUUUACAUCUGUCUUUAAAAUGCACUGCACAUGGCGAAGACAUUCAUACGGAUGAACGCUGGCAUGGAGACUCAUCUCGUAUCCAUGACAACACGGAGCACUUUAUCACUUAUCCACAGUGGAUCAGCCCUGCCAGACAUAAAAGAUCUCAUGAGGGCACUAAGCAUCCAUCUGAGGCAGAGGUCAAAAUUACUGUGGGAGGGGAAGAGCUGAUUCUGCAACUCCGGAGAAAUGAGGUCUCUAGGCUUUUAUUCAAAUUAAUGUUUGCCCUCAUGGACCCAGAGGAGGUGAUUGGGUUUAGAUCCAGGCAGGCACUGCUGAUUCAGGUUUUCUGAGGGUGGCGAGACUGGGGUUGCAUGACUUGAAGGUCAGUGGAGAGAUCUUAUUUAGGGCUCAAGUUUUCUGAAGUAGCAGGGAACCCCACAACCUAACUGAUUCUCUAUAGUCCCCUUUCCCUUUUGUACCCAUAUACAUAAGGGGAUAAUUCAUGACAGACUUAAGACCAUGUCUGCUGACCUGCCAGUGAAGUUUCUUUCACUCUAUCCCUCCUGUAUUUCUGUCUGUUUUCUCUCUCUGGAGGGCUGACAGAUCUCAGAGGAAAUGUGUGAGGCUUUGUCCUCCCUAAUAGUUUCAGUCAAAAUGCUGUCUUGUGUCAUCAGAAUGAUAUAAUCAGAGGAAUUUUUAGGUCAUUAGUGGUGAUUUAUUUCAAGUCAACCUGACAUGUUAUUCACAACCAUUUUGCUUUUAUUGUGUAACAUAUUUUUGAAUCAAAUAAAGAUUAUUUAAUGCAGGAUUUGAUUUUAUCAUCUGGAGUUGAUUGGAUCAUAAAAAAAAUGGGUGUUAGGUAGAAAACUAGAGUCAGGUGGUUGGCUGUUUGACUUAUUUUGAAGAAAUAUUACAAAGACAAACAUUUGUGCACUGAUAAGUCAUUCACAAUAAGUCCAGGAAUGUGCAUUAACCAUGUAAAGCCUGACAUAAUAGUCAGGAAAGACCAAAUUUUAAAAUGGAACAUUUAGUUGAACUUUUAGACAAAACAUUAAAUAAAAGGGUUUGCAUAUGUUUUUUGUUGUUGAGUAUCAUAUUUGAUACUUUAGGCUUUUAUAGUCCAUAUAGUGUGAUAUAGUAAUAUGGAGAAUCAUACUUGAGGAAAAAGCACUCAGUUUUAUUCAGAGGCCCGAAAAGGAGCAAAAUUUAGCAAUUUACUGCAGUUGCUGAUAUUUAUAUGGCCAAAAAUUGGGAUUAAAUUGAUUGAUUGUAAUGUAAAUUAAAUGCAAAACAUAUAAUGAAAUGCAAUACAGUGAGGAUUGUGAGAUGGAUGUUAUUAAAUGUACAGCCCCGCAUUUCAGCCCGGGCCUGAUGGUCUCCGACUUUUUAACGGCCUUCGGGCCAAUUUUCACGUCAUAGUUCAGACAUGGGCCGGGCCUCAGGCCUGUAUUAGGCUUCUCCUUAUUUUUAUAUUUUAGACAUCCAUCAAUUAGUGAUUAAAAAAAAAUUGCUGCGCUGGUGGAAAUAACAUGAGACUGUGCUACCAUGACUGCCAAGAGUGACUCGACGGUGUUUAUUGUCCUGUCAGCAGCAGUAUGGUGCAUGCCGUCAGCUCAGCUGAUCAGCUGAACAGUUCUGAGUUCAAAUACAUGCAAUAGGCUUAAGCUUGCCGGCAAAGCACUGGCAAAAGUAAUUACCAUAAAUGUAAACUAGUGUUUUCUGAGUCUGUGUCGCAAGGAUGAAGUUGCUGAUCCUGACUCUCCAUCUCCUCAGAGAAGUGCAUCUUUACGGAUUAUGAUUAUAAUGAAAAGUUUUUGUUUUCAGUUUGUUUUAUUUCAUUAAGUAAUCAUUUAAAUCUUUCUAUAGAUAUAUUUAUCAUGUCUGCGAGGGAUUUUCAUUGAGUUUCGUUUCAUUUUUGUACUCUGUUAAAGAAGAGAUGGCAAAAAGCGCAUGUUUGUUUUCUUUAUUUUAAAAAAGCACAACAUUUUGUUGAUAUUGUGAGUGCACACAAAUAAAAGUAGACCCUUUGCAGUUACGAAUGAUUACUCUUACCUUUAUGAACAAAAAUGACAAGAAUAUCCACUGAAAAAACUGCACGUGAUUGCCCUGACGCUUCCAUGCCCUGCAAAGCAUCUCCUCACAAACUAUUGGAUAUAGCGCAUAUUUAUCUAGGUUUAACGUUUAAACAUUGUCAUAUGCUUGAACUGUUUUU